UGGGGAAUUUUGGACAAUGGGCGCAAGCCUGAUCCAGCCAUGCCGCGUGUCUGAAGAAGGCCUUCGGGUUGUAAAGGACUUUUGUCAGGGAAGAAAAGGCUGUCGCUAAUACCGACAGUUGAUGACGGUACCUGAAGAAUAAGCACCGGCUAACUACGUGCCGGCAGCCGCGGUAAUACGUAGGGUGCAAGCGUUAAUCGGAAUUACUGGGCGUAAAGCGAGCGCAGACGGUUACUUAAGCAGGAUGUGAAAUCCCCGGGCUCAACCUGGGAACUGCGUUCUGAACUGGGUGACUAGAGUGUGUCAGAGGGAGGUAGAAUUCCACGUGUAGCAGUGAAAUGCGUAGAGAUGUGGAGGAAUACCGAUGGCGAAGGCAGCCUCCUGGGAUAACACUGACGUUCAUGCUCGAAAGCGUGGGUAGCAAACAGGAUUAGAUACCCUGGUAGUCCACGCCCUAAACGAUGUCAAUUAGCUGUUGGGCAACUUGAUUGCUUAGUAGCGUAGCUAACGCGUGAAAUUGACCGCCUGGGGAGUACGGUCGCAAGAUUA
rnacentral:rRNA from 1 species